rnacentral:rRNA from 1 species
GAUGAACGCUAGCGAUAGGCUUAACACAUGCAAGUCGAGGGGCAGCAUGGUCUUAGCUUGCUAAGACUGAUGGCGACCGGCGCACGGGUGCGUAACGCGUAUGCAACUUGCCUCACAGAGGGGGAUAACCCGUCGAAAGACGGACUAAUACCGCGUACACUUGGAAUAGGGCAUCCUAUCCCAAGGAAAUGAAUUUCGCUGUGAGAUAGGCAUGCGUCCCAUUAGCUAGUUGGUGAGGUAACGGCUCACCAAGGCAACGAUGGGUAGGGGAACUGAGAGGUUGAACCCCCACACUGGUACUGAGACACGGACCAGACUCCUACGGGAGGCAGCAGUGAGGAAUAUUGGUCAAUGGGCGAGAGCCUGAACCAGCCAAGUCGCGUGAAGGAUGACUGUCUUAUGGAUUGUAAACUUCUUUUAUACGGGAAUAACAAGAGUCACGUGUGGCUCCCUGCAUGUACCGUAUGAAUAAGCAUCGGCUAACUCCGUGCCAGCAGCCGCGGUAAUACGGAGGAUGCGAGCGUUAUCCGGAUUUAUUGGGUUUAAAGGGUGCGUAGGCGGCCUGUUAAGUCAGCGGUGAAAUCUAGGAGCUUAACUCCUAAAUUGCCAUUGAUACUGGCGGGCUUGAGUGUAGAUGAGGUAGGCGGAAUGCGUGGUGUAGCGGUGGAAUGCAUAGAUAUCACGCAGAACUCCGAUUGCGAAGGCAGCUUACUAAGGUACAACUGACGCUGAAGCACGAAAGCGUGGGUAUCAAACAGG